rnacentral:lncRNA from 1 species
UCCCUGAUAUCCUUAGCUCCUUCCAUGGCCGUCGUUUUCUCUCCUGCCCUCUUUUUUCCUUUUUCUCUGCCACUCUCUCUAGUUGUCCAACUUUUCUAAAAUGUAUUUAGUACACGAUAUAAAAAGCAAAAGUUAUGUUUAAAACAAUCAAUAUUUUUUUAAUAGUUAUAUAUUUUUUAAUGGUGGAGUAGUUGGCUCUGUCUCUCUGGUUUAGGCUCAUGGUUGUUCCUUCUCCAAUAAAGAUCGACUUGGUGGGGGUUUGUGGUCUUGGUCUCGAGUGUAGCUGUCUGUCCAUGAAGUUCACUGUCUGGGUGUGCUUAGCAAGCUGUUUUUGACAACCCGAUCAUUAAGAACUGGUCACCAGGUACACCUAACUCUACCGGGUCGAGCUCUCGCUAUAACUGCGGGUCGAUUCUGCGGCAAGCGAAUGUUCCUCCCCACUGUAUCCUUUGUGUACUCCAAUUUGUGUAAGUUUUAUUUAUGUUGAUCUGCUACUAGUAUUCUCUGUCAUUAUCUGUAAAAAAUUUAAAACUGGUAAUGAAAUCUUAAUUUUUUUUACCAACAAAAAAACUCAAAAAUCAUCAUUAAAAUAAAUAUAUUCAAAUAUAGCAUUACAAAUUUCGAAAUAUCAUUUAAUUAUAUAUUUUUAAAUUAUACAAUUUGAUUACUAAUUUUUUUCAAAAAUAUAUACAAUUUUUUUAUUGAAAAUAAUAAAAAAAUUAAUCGUAAAAUCAUUAGUUUUUUAUAUAUCUACAAAUUUUAUAAAUAUUGUAAUAUUAAUUUUUGGUAAUUAUUCAAUUUCUUACAAAUUUAUUUAAUAUAUUUAAUUAAAAUAAAUAGAUAGAAACAUCUAUCUAAAAUUAUAAUUUUAAAUAUAUACAUGCAUAUCCUUAAAUAUAAUUUAAAAUAAACAAAAUUAUUUUUAUCUUAAUUUUUAAGCUUAAUUAAAUCAAACUUAUAUUAAAUAUUGAUAAGAAAAAAAAUUACAAUAUUAAUAAAAUUUUAUUUUUAAUUUAUAUUUAUCUGUUAAAACAUUUUAAUUUUUUUACUGUACAUGGUGCAGAAAAACACCUAGUAAUUCAUGCUAAAAUAAGUAUUGUUACAUAAUUCGUGAAGAAAAAGACAAGAUAUAAAAAACGAUUUGAAAUAGGUUUUUCUCCAGCGUGUGCAUAGAUGGUGUACCUCAUCUGAUCUUAUCUCCAUGAGUCCAUGAUCGAGUGAUACCGAUUAGGUGUAGGCACGAAGCAGAUAUCAGAAAUUUUAAGGAUAUCUACGCUCCGUUCUACACGUAUAAUCGAUUUUUUUAUUCAAUUCGAUAUGUAACCUUUUGGAUAUCUGGUAUUCUGGAUAUCUGGAAAAUUUUGUAGUUUUACCAGAUAUUCGAUACGAUCCGCAAAAAAAUAAUUAAAAAAAAAUUAUAUAAAAUAAUAAUAUUUUAAAAUAACUAUAUAUUUUCAAAAUUUUCAAUAACUAAAUAACUAAUUUAGUGAAUAAAAUAUUAUAAAAGUUAUAUAGAGAUAUAAAUAUAUAUAUGUGUGUGUGUGUGUGUGUGUGUGUGUGUGUCAUAACGGAUAGGAUCGAUAUCCGUUUUUAAAAAUAUCAGUAUAUGUGAUUUGAUCCGUCUUUGACGGAUAUUGAAUUUUGGUAUUUAUUUAAGUUACGGAUAUCCAGAUUUUUCUUAUCGAAUCAAAACGAAUAACGAAUCAAAUCAAAACUUAUGCAUAUUACUUUUUUUGUUUGUAACCAAAUAAUUAUUAAGGUUGAUUUUAUAUAUAUUUUACUGACUCUUUGUCUGUAUCAGAUAUAUAUUGACUAGUAUGAUCUCAUACUAUCUUUCAUAAAACAUGAUAAAAAAGGAAAUAAUUAUUUUAAUAUAUAUUGGGAGCUUGAUCUGUAAUAUGUCUUCUGAGGUUGCUUCACGUCCAGGAAAGUCACUGUUAUUAAUGAACAAUACUCAUUCAAACUGAAGUUACAAAAGGAAAAAAAAAAACAGUUUAGUGAUUAUUCUUAGCUAGCAUAUCAAACAUCUAUGAGACUCCUUUCAAGUAAUCAUUUUGAUAAGUACGUAGAUUUUAGACUUUUAAGUACUUACGUUAUCUGAUCACAAUCGAAGAAAAAAUGUUGAAAAAUAAAUGAAGAAAAAAGUGGCAUAGAGUGCUUACUUAAUUAGCCUCUAUGAUAAUAUCAUAGUAAUUAUUACAGUACAUCUAUUUUAACUUCUUAUAUCCAGGGAGGACGGCGUAUGACUAAUAUUGAUAAGCUCAUACAUGAAUUUAUGUGGAGACUGAAACUAUUUUAGACUAAAUGUGUUUGCAUUGAUUACAUAAGAUGUAAAAACUAAAAGUCGUUAUUAUUAUCAUUAUGCAUAUAAAUAAACAAUAAUAUGACAAUGUGUGUGUCUAUAUAUGGUAUAAAUACUUGUAGAAGCUCAGUUGCGUGAUCUCAAGUUCUCAACAGUGUUACAGCUACGAUUGAUUGUUGAUGCUUAAUCUAUAAUUAGAUAAAAUUAUGUUAACAGUGUUUUACAUAAUCAAAAUUAAAGCUAGCAAAAGGAGAUCACUAGCAUGUAAAUGUUGGAAGAGGGAUGGUAAGCAUGCCAACCAACAAUUCUCUUCAUGCAAACUAGUUUACUUAAUUAUAUAUGACAAUAAUAUAAUUUCACACCAUGUUUAUGAAUUUGAAUCGUUGUCUUGUUUGACCUAAAAUAUCCUUCCUCACUGAAAGUGCAAGUUCUUAAAAAUCAUUAUCCCAAAACCAGGGCCGGUCUCGAGCAUAGGCGAGGUAACCGACCGCGUAGGGCAUCAUAUUUUAAGCGAAAAAAUUUAGUUGUAUAUAAGGCAUAAAUUUUUUUUUACAUGAAUAACAAAGGCAUAAAAUUUUAAAUGAGCUUAGGGCAUCAAGAAAAAAUUGAGAAUGUUGGACCGGCACUGCCCAAAACUGAGCCAAGCGCGACAACGGGAAAUGUUUUUUUCCCAAUAUAAUUAUAUCGUGCUAAACUAACAAAAGGACUAAAUAGUUUAAGAUAAGAAAUUAUUUUAUCAAUAUUUAAUAGCAUCUCCAUCAGUGGAGAUUGUAAUUUGGGGUACUUAACAUAAAAUAAUAAUAUUUUAAUAUGAUAUUUAUAUACUUUAAUUUAAUUAUUUUAAAUAAAUAUUAACAAACUAAAAAGAAACAUGUGGCAGUACAGUUUAGGAACCAAUUCUAAAAAGAGGGUUUAAUGGCGUACCUCCGAGCUCGAUAACCUAGGUAGAUUUUUAAAAUUAUUUUAACUUUUUUUUAGUUAAAAAAAAAGUCAAUCGCGGGGUUUUAUUUGGCGGUAGAAUCCGUGCACAGUAACAAACCUGAUCUUUAUCUAAGGAUUAUUUUGACAAAAGUCUUUAAGUUUAGUAGGUCCCACACGAUAUUAUAUUGAUUAAUCCCUAAAGAUUUUUGGGUAAGGAUCCCCAUUGGACAUGCCCUAAAGAACCUCAACUAUUUCUCAUUCUUACUUUUGUGUAUUUAUAUUAGAGUCUUUAUAUUAUUACUUUUUGGUUAGGAGUUAUUUAAACAUCCUACAUCCUACCGAUGGAGAAGGUCUAAGACCACCUCCAACGGUGGCUCUGACCACAGGUUCUAAAAAAAACAAAAAAAAUAAAUCAAAAAUGAGAUAAAUGAGCAAAACCGGUUCUAAAUAUAACACUUUUAGAAUCAGUAAAAACCCCAUAUGUGCCUCUUUGUUAUUGGUUAAAACAAAAAAGCAGAAAAUCUGACCUUCUCUUUCUUCCUCUUCGUUAAUGUCUUUUUUUUGUUUUUCUGAGAAAUUGGUUCGUCGAUGUUCGUAGAUAUUUUGAAAAAUCUUUCCAAAUCAUCACAUGAGAUCAACCGUUUGUUUGUUGGAUGAGAGAUGCUGAGCUUGGAUAAACAAAGGCCUGAAUCGUCAUCAUCGGAGGAGGUGCAAGCUGUGACUCCGUGGGUCGUCUCCGGUAAUGUCGAUCACGAGAAGGUGAUCGAAAAGUUCGGCUGCGAUAGGAUAGACGAGUCGCUGAUUGCAGUUGCAGGGGACAAGAACUGCCAAUGGUACGUCUUAUUCAUUGUUUUCACGUUAUUAAAGUAAAAAGAAAACAAAAUCUUACAAAAACUAUAUAGUUUCAUAUUUUAUCAUUACCCCUCAGAAAAUGAAGAGAAUUACAAGAAAUGCCACGAAGUGAUUUUGAGGAACCCUUGAGUUUCUUUCGGUCGUUUUCUCUCCCCAUGUCUCUUUGAUCCGAAACGUA